rnacentral:lncRNA from 1 species
AGCUCAGAUACGAUCACACACUUGUCUGAGUUCUAGCUUCCGUCAUCACUAGGAUACACUGACUGAAGGCAAAUUCAGCAAUGACAAGAACAGGAAGAGCAGUGUGGACUCCCCGGCAUGGAAGCCAUUUCCUGCUGGUGCCGAAGUGCUUCCCACACCCCAGCCUGCUUAUGCGACAGGUGAAAAAGAUUGAAGUUUAAUUUGGUAUCUGUCCGGACUUUGGUCACUUCAUCCUGGGCAGAGGGCAGAGGACAAAGAGAAUGAGAAGCCAGGGUAAAAGAGCUGCACCUUCUGAGACUUAAGCCCAGAGACAUGGAGCCAGGCCUCCUGGUGUCCUAGGACUCUGGGCCAGCCACACCUCACAUCAGCUCUGUGUCUAGCCCUCCCAGUUAUCUAUAGACAGUCCCCUUUGACCCCAAUGUCAGCAUGGUAGGGCUCAACUGCUUAUGACCUCCUCAUGGAAUGUGUGAAUAGGAUUAUCUAGAGCAUUUUAGAAAAUAAAGAUGGACCAAUGGAAC